rnacentral:rRNA from 1 species
GACGAACCGUGCGAACGUUGUUCGGAAUCACUGGGCUUAAAGGGCGCGUAGGCGGGUGACCAAGUCCGGGGUGAAAUCUUUCGGCUUAACCGGAAAAGUGCCUUGGAUACUGGUCGCCUGGAGGGAGGUAGGGGCAUGUGGAACUUCCGGUGGAGCGGUGAAAUGCGCAGAUAUCAGGAGGAACACCGGUGGCGAAGGCGGCUUGCUGGGCCAGUUCUGACGCUGGAGGAGCGAAAGCGUGGGGAGCGAACAGG